AUCUCCAGCUGGAGAUCCUUCCUCUUGGAGCCCUUCUAUGAGCCCAGGACACUGUAUUGGGAUCUCCAUUCAACAUCCUAAGUUUGGCACUUCUAGUUUUUCAAGACCGUAGUGGAUUAUAUCCCCCUGUUCUGCAACAGAAAUCUCAUGGGAGGGAACCUCAUUCCCGUGAACUCUUCUUGUCCUCAUGCUGUCCAUCAGCAGUGGGUCGUGAAAGAAUAUUUCAGGAAGAAUAGCAACUGAGGGACAGUAACAAAGCCAAAAGAGCAGGAGAUCCUGUAAAGUGCAGGCUUGAAUGAGUAUGUAGUUAAGCUUAUCUUUGGGUCCCUUGCCUCCUUCCUUUAUGAGGAUAAUAGGCCUGGAUGCCAAAGUAAUUUUGAAAUCAGAAUUGUGAGUGAAAGGAAGAAGAGAUGAAGUCUUUGAGAAAGAAAGAAAAAUGUGGUGUCCGGUGAAAUGUACAUCCUAACCAUCAGAAAAUUUUCGUUAAAGUAGUUAGAAAAUAGAAAAAAGAAACAAAAUGUUGCCACUUUCAUACUCCUGAGACUUCUAGGAUUUUCUUUGUGAUGACUCCCCGGCUGCUAACGCAAACUGCCUGAAGGUUCACUUUUGGUAUUUUACCUCGUGGUCAUGUCUAGAAGAUGCUCCAUCAAAAUAAAAUUUUAUCCUUUUCAGAAGUUUAUGAAGCAAAGAAUUGGAACAGCUUGAAACACACAAAGUAUUCUAACAUCACUCAGUAGUUCAGAUACAAACCUGAAAUACGUUAAGUAAUAAUAGGGCAUUGACAUUUACCACUUGAAAGGGUAUCUGCUAUGCAAAUCAGAUUUCCUACAGGACAGAAAAGAUUAAAACCAAAUAAAUUUUCCUCCUGGAACUUCCCCAAGUAAAAUUCACAUAGUUUCUAAGAAUAUGAUUGAAGGUGAAGACCCUGAACAUCAGUCAGUAGAAGAUAACCACUGUCAGUCUUCAAAGGGCAUCAUUUACGGAAAAUGAUUGAGGAAAUACCAGCAUAUAGCUCUUCUAUUUCAUUCUCAUAAUUGCGUUGCUAGUGUUUAUUUGCUAUUACUGUGUGAAAGAAUUCCUGAAGCCAAAUAUCAAUUUAUUUGAGAUCUGAGUUUAAGAGGGUACCAAACAGGAGUGAUUUACGUUCACUUAAAGUCGAUUUUAUAUUUUUUUCAGCUGUGUAUAGGUUGGCUGACUAAAACUAAAUUUAAAUGAUUC
ensembl:lncRNA